ACCUGUGGCAGCAGUCGGUUCCCGAGUUCUCCGGUAUGAGUCCAUAGCUCAAUCCCAAGGUGCCAAGCUUGGUGGCUCUCACCCUUAUCAAUGAGCCAUUCCAAUGCCCAGGCCUGGGAAACCCUUUGAAAGCAUUGGCCUCUUCCGAGUAGAGAUGAUAGCAUGUUUUGGAUUGAGCAAAUAAGGCAUGUCAACUUUCUAGACUUUGAAAGGAAAGUCUGAGUGACAUCAGUGGAUCCUGGGGACAUCUGGAAGUCUGCUAAGGAGCAGGUUUCUACAGCUGAUAAUGCCCUAAGAACAUGUAGAUUUUGAUCCCUUAUUUUUGAUAUGCCUUUUUACACUGAGUUUUGUUUUCUUCUCUCUCUCUCUCUCUCUCUCUCUCUCUCUCUCUCUCUCUCUUUCUUUCUUUUUAUGGUUUUUCGAGACCGGUUUUUCUGUAUAGCCCUGGCUGUCCUGGAACUCACUUUGUAGACCAGGCUGGCCUCGAACUCAGAAAUCCGCCUGCCUCUGCCUCCCGAGUGCUGGGAUUAAAGGCAUGCACCACCACGCCCAGCUGAGUUUUGUUUUCUAAAGUUGUUCUCCAAGCUACUGUAUAUUUGGAUCGCAGACCAAUUUGUCAAGUGACAUUUUAAAAUUUGUAUUACUAAUAAUUUCCUAACUAGUUGUCAGUUUGUUACAGAAGGUUGCUCUGGACCCAUGACCCAGGGUGAACUAAAAACAAACAUAACUCUGUUGCUUGUUUUGAACUAGACUUCUAUACUAAAAAAUAUCUUUAUUACACUGAAGGUUUUCUUUUCAUUUAUGUGUACGUGUACAUGCUUGCAUGAGUUUGUGAGCAGCACAUGAUUGCAAGUAUCCUUGGAGGGCAGAAGAAGGCAUCAAAGCCAGUGGAACUGGGGUUACAGGCUGUGAUGACCUGCCAUGUGGAACCAAACCUGGGUCCUCUGCACAAACGAAAUGACUUUUCGUGUGAAGCCACAAGAAGAGAGAAGUAAGAAGUAACCUCACUGGAUGUGUCCAGUAAAUUCACUGUGGUGCCUGGCAGGUGAAAUUAGGAUACAGUUGCCUCCCGACCUUGUUUUCUGUCAUAAAAACACAUGCACAGAUUUUCAGAACCCUUGUAUAGACACACAUUCUGUAAAUGCUGGACUUGGCAACUCAGAACUGAUCUAAGAGCUGGGUCUGUUUCAUACCACUUCUGACCAGUAAGAGGCUCACAGUUGUUUGUUAGGCUUUUGUCUGGCUUUAUACUCUCUUAGAUAUUAUCUCCAGAUUCUAAAUGUCCUCUUAUUUUUCCGUAUAUUCAAACUCUAUGACUCAUCCCCACCCUGCUUCCUUCCCAGACUAUGAGCCACUACAGUUUAGUCAAAACAUAAUCAACUUGGGACUAGCGAGAUGGCUCAGCAGGUAAGAGCACUGACAGCUCUUCUAAAGGUCCUGAGUUCAGAUCCCAGCAACCACAUGGUGGCUCACAACCACCCAUAAUGAGAUCUGACACCCUCUUCUGGUGCUGUCUGAAGACAGCCACAGAAUAAUAAUAAAUAAAUCUUU
rnacentral:lncRNA from 1 species